rnacentral:rRNA from 1 species
UACGUAGGGUGCAAGCGUUGUCCGGAAUUAUUGGGCGUAAAGAGCUCGUAGGCGGUCUGUCGCGUCGGCUGUGAAAUCCCGAGGCUCAACCUCGGGUCUGCAGUCGAUACGGGCAAACUGGAGUGUUGCAGGGGAGACUGGAAUUCCUGGUGUAGCGGUGAAAUGCGCAGAUAUCGAGGAGGAACACCGGUGGCGAAGGCGGGUCUCUGGGCAACAACUGACGCUGGAGGAGCGAAAGCGUGGGGGAGCGAACAGG